ensembl:lncRNA
CAGAAAAGACCUGUUAGUACUUGGCAGCUAAAUUCCCUACAGAGUCUGGGCAACAAAUGUGCCCAUCCAUGCUGUGCCCCACCCAGGCUCUGCACCAGCCCCCACUGGCAAGUUUUCUGGGACACAAAUGCACGGGAGCCAAAUAACAACAGUCUUUUAAUGACAGUAAGGCAAAAUACAGGAACUGGGACAUUUCUAACAGGUUCUCUACCAGCUUCUGGUACCAGACCCUCAUGUGGAGUGAAGCUACAAAGCCUAUGGAAAUACAUGAGGUGAUUUUAUUCUGCUUAGAAAAAAAGGCAAAGUGAAAGGCAUCUCCUCCCUACCCAAAGGAGCAAGUCAGGGAGUGAAGCCUGUGGGUGAAGAUCAAGACUGAGGGAAAAAGGGAGGUCCCUAGAUGCCAUUCUGUGGUACCUCUGCUGCUUCAAAGAGCAGGUAAUGGAACACCGUCAUCCUUAAGCAUUGCUAGCAGACUGUCUUCAGACAAGGCGGCUUAGGACGUAUACAUCAAAGCUGCC